rnacentral:rRNA from 1 species
UACGAAGGGGGCAAGCGUUGUUCGGAAUUACUGGGCGUAAAGGGCUCGUAGGCGGCCAACUAAGUCGGAUGUGAAAUCCCCAAGCUUAACUUGGGAACUGCAUCCGAUACUGGAUGGCUUGAAUCCGGGAGAGGGAUGCAGAAUUCCAGGUGUAGCGGUGAAAUGCGUAGAUAUCUGGAGGAACACCGGUGGCGAAGGCGGCAUCCUGGACCGGUAUUGACGCUGAGGCGCGAAAGCCAGGGGAGCAAAUGGG